CCGCAGAGGGGGCCCAGGCAGCACACUGCUUCUCCUCUUCUCUUCUUUCUUCUAAUAACUCUCGCGAGACCUGGUUACCGUGGCAAUGCAUCGUGGGUCUCGCAAGAGUUACUAGAAGAGAGGAGAAGAGAAGAGGAGAAGCUGUGUGCUGCCUGGGCCCCCUCUGCG